rnacentral:lncRNA from 1 species
AGUAUAUUGUUAGGAAGCUUCCCAAUUCUGACAUCCACACAACCUCUGUGGUGCAGAAAUAACAUUUGAAAACUCAAUUCCAUCUUAAUCAAAACUAAGAAAAUCUUGGUUGACAUGAAAACUCUCACUACAGCUGUUCUGACAACCACCGAUCUCACGGCGGAAGCAGGAAGCAGGAAAUGCAUGUGAAUGAAAUAUAAAUCCAGACUCAUGAGUUACUCAGUAACUUGGAUAAAAAUAAAUCAUUUUAAUCCUAUAAUUUUUUUUCGUUCAAAAGUUAUAGGGCCAGACCUUGGAUUCGAGGAAUUAUAACCUUACAAUAUUCAAGGAGUCCUUCAACUCAAGGC